AAAUUUUUUCAUGGCCUACUAUAAAGAAAAAACGAAAUGUUUCGUAUUUCUUAAAUAUUUAAAAUUAACGUAUUACACAAAUAGACAUAUCAAAUCAGAAAAAAAUAAUCUUUUCGAAAAUGUCAUAGCCAACUAUGAUUCCUAUUUAAAAAAAUACAACUUUAUGUUAUUACAGUUAAACGAAUGGUUGAAAAAAAUCGCUGAUAACAUUAAAUUCUCUGAAAAAAAGUGAAAAAAUGACAUCUGUCACACUUAAAAUAAUUUUAAUUAUUUCGGCAAUUUGCGCUUUAUCCUCCGGUAAAACGGACAAGUUACACUGUUGGUCGUGUAAAGGUAAAUGCGCAAAACCGGUAGAACAAAAAUGUACUAGUAAGGAAGUAUUGUGUUAUUUCAUUACGAACGCUGAACACGGACGCGAAUAUCGGGGAUGUACGGGAGAAAAAAGUUGUAAUAAAAUGAAACGCAAGCUAAACGCAACUUUUUGCAUUAUGUGUUGGGCUGAUAUGUGUAAUUCCCCGGCAAGGGAUGUGUUGAAGUCGGUGUGGUGGCUAGUACUGGUCCCAAUCCCGCUUCUAGUUUGAAGAAUUGUGACCAAAUACAUGGUCCAGGCAAAUAAGACUUUAAUAAAUCGAAAAGUUAAGGAAAAUAAAAAUGUUUAGUCAAAGAAAA